ensembl:snRNA U6 U6 spliceosomal RNA
UUGCUUUCCCAGCACAUACACUAAAAUUGGAACGAUACAGAGAAGAAUGGCCCCUGCGCAAGGAUGACACGCAAAUUUGUGAAGCAUUCCAUAUUUUU